AGUCGAGCGAGAAGCUACCUUCGGGUAGUGGACAGCGGCGCACGGGUGAGUAACGCGUACACAAUCUACCUUAUAGAGGAGAAUAGCCCUGGGAAACUGGGAUUAAUGCUCCAUAGUAUUACACUUUGGCAUCAAGGUGUAAUUAAAGCUCCGGCGCUAUAAGAUGAGUGUGCGUACUAUUAGUUAGUUGGUAAGGUAACGGCUUACCAAGGCUACGAUAGUUAGGGGGCGUGAGAGCGUGACCCCCCACACGGGUACUGAGACACGGACCCGACUCCUACGGGAGGCAGCAGUAAGGAAUAUUGGACAAUGGGCGCAAGCCUGAUCCAGCCAUCCCGCGUGGAGGAUGACUGCCCUAUGGGUUGUAAACUCCUUUUAUUUGAGAAGAAACGCCUGGAUUUAUCCGGGCCUGACGGUAUCUUAUGAAUAAGCACCGGCUAACUCCGUGCCAGCAGCCGCGGUAAUACGGAGGGUGCAGGCGUUAUCCGGAAUCACUGGGUUUAAAGGGUGCGUAGGUGGUUUAGUAAGUCAGAUGUGAAAGCCCGGCGCUCAACGUCGGAAUUGCAUUUGAUACUGCUGAACUUGAAUCAGGUUGAGGUGGGCGGAAUGUGGCAUGUAGCG
rnacentral:rRNA from 1 species